rnacentral:rRNA from 1 species
GACGGGGGGGGCAAGUGUUCUUCGGAAUUACUGGGCGUAAAGCGCGUGUAGGUGGUGGGACAAGUCUGCUGUGAAAGCGCCUGGCUUAACCGGGCGAGGUCGGCGGAAACUGUCCGACUCGAGGACGGUAGAGGGGGGUGGAAUUCCCGGUGUAGUGGUGAAAUGCGUAGAGAUCGGGAGGAACACCUGUGGCGAAGGCGGCCCCCUGGGCCGGCCCUGACACUGAGACGCGAAGGCGUGGGGAGCGAACGGG